CACUGACACUAAAUCAAAGGUGUGCUUGUGUUUAAUACAGGAAUGUGGUCAGAAUCAGAUACAUGAUGAAUUAAUCUGUUGUGUUCCAACGAAUUGUGAUUCAUGCUCUCAGGUAUUAAGGCACAGUAUGACUUAUGAAUCAUGAUGUGAAAUUGAGCAACGCGAGUGAUGUCGUGUCAGAUGCAGUUUCCUGACCACAUCAUACUCGACGAGCGCGCUUCGUUGAGCGCGGUUGUGUGGCGUCGCGUCGCUGCAGAGUAUUGUUAGACAUGAUCCACUAAACGAUGAUGGGGAUUUUAUUUCUGGACUAUUUACUAUCCAAACGAGGAAUUCUGAAGGUCGCUCAGCUCGAGUUUGUGCUCGAUACAUUGGGAUUCAUCUUCACCUCCACCGGUUCCAUUGUAGCUGCUGUGAAGUCUUAUGAAACCCCCAUUCUGGUUGCCGCCUCAGUGUGUGGUCUUCUGGUCUGGUAUCUCUCACUUGUUAGUGUGAUACUUUCGUUUGUUGCCGCUCGCCGCACACAGCCUGCGGGUCCACCAGUAUAAAAACACUGUCUUGAUGUUUAUAGUGCUUCUUCUGAAAUAUCUAACUGCCCUCAACACAUAACAGCUUGGAUCGGGAAAUGAUAAAGGAUAUGGUUGUUUUAGUAAACUUACAUGGAAGAUAAAAGAUUUUGUGACAAUAUAAUUUUUUGCACACAUGGUUUAUUGCAAAGAGAUGGUUUUAAUAUUAUAAUUAUAAUAUUUUAUAUUAUAAAAAUGUAUGAUAAUAACCUGCCAAUAAUUUACUGGUGUACAUUUUAAGAAAUGGC
rnacentral:lncRNA from 1 species